rnacentral:misc_RNA from 1 species
CGUGUGUUUACAUAUAAAAUAAAUAUAUAUAGCAAGAGUAAAAUUAUUAAAUACAUUUAAAAUAAAUAUUAUUUUAUUUUUAUAAAAAUAAUAUUUAUCUUGUAAAACUCAUAAAUUACAAAACCUGGUCUCAACAAGGAUAGAAAUUGUUUUAACCUUUGCUUGGUUGAAAUCUUUCAAUUCUUUAAGAGCCAAAUCUCUUAGCUUAUUCACCUCUUUCACUGGCCACUCCUUCCUUUCAUCAACCUUGCUCAAUAUUCCUUGUACCAUUCCUACAUACAAGCCAUACCUUCUCAAUUUUUCUAUCUCGUCUUCGCUUCCACCUCCUAAUAUUGCGCCACACGCACCCGCACACGCGUGUAAGGUACCUUCUUUUUUUCUACAUACAUUUUGAAGCCAUCCCACGUGGAAUAUUUCCUCCCCCUCCGAUUCCUCGUAUUGUGAUUCAUUAUAUUGCCCUUCGAUCACUCCUUGUGAACCCAUGGCACGUGAGAUCUCAAUGAUAGCACGCAAAACCCGAUUCGAAUUAUUUUCGGCAGCGUCGUCGUCCCGUGCCAGUAACUCAAACCCGUAUGGUAUUAUUCCAUCUGCUAUGAGAAGCUCGAUGUUAGGGCCAUAUAAAGUGGGCCUGGUUCUGGGCGUCGGCCUGGGCCUGUCUGUCAAAGGCAGGUUCUCAUGAGUGGAAGCAGAAGCAUGCACGAGACGUAAAGCGGAUGCUGCAGCCAUGGCUUGGUUCCGGUGGCCACCAACGAGUUCACAAGCGGCGAUACACAAGGCGGGUGCGGAAGUUUGUGGGGCGGAUAAGAUGAGAUGGCGCAUGGGCUCAAAGACCGCGAGCGGUUGCCUUAUGGGAAUGGCUUGCUUGAGAUGUGUGUCAAGGUCAGCAUUUACAGAGCUCCAAUAAGACUGGUCAGUGGACAUGGCAACUACCAUGGGUCUAUGAGAGAAUAAUGGGUGUUUAGGAUUGGAACUGGAGACAGCACGAGCUAUGAGAUUUCCAUGUAUGGUAGAAGAGAGAGCUCCGGCCAUGGGUGGUGUUGUACAGGAGGAGAAGGAGGAGAAAAACGUGGCUGUUGUUGAGAUUGGGAAGGUAUAUCUUGGGGAAGAAAAAUGAAAAAUUGGAGGACAAUAAUUGUGAUAUGUCUCGUUUUAUAACGUUGUCCUUACAUGUUAUGGAAUAUAAA